rnacentral:lncRNA from 1 species
UUAGAUUAAGCUAUUACAACGCUCAAUACUCAAUACAUGAAAUUAUUUAGAAUAAACAGAGCAAGCUAGCUGUUAAGGAACAAAAAUCAUAACUGACCACCUCUAACAACAACAUAUUUCAGCAGAAAUCAAAAAUUAAUACAUCAUAGCCCUAUUAUGGUGUAACUUCAAAGUAGGCUGAAAGUGAACAAUAAACUGGUAGAUAAAAAAGGUAACAAGAUCAUGCAAAAUAAUUACACCAUUUCUUCAUUUUUGGGCACUUUAUGAGCCCCUCUUUACAUGUUGGAAGUCAAAAAGGAGUACCUGGAAAUUGAGCAAAGUGAGGGGAAUCAGAGGUCAGUUAAGCUAGCAACAAACAGCAGCAACAAAACCAAUUCAAAGACCCGACAUCAGUGUUAAAUAACCCCAAGGAGUGAUUUCAAUAAAAUAACACCAGUAAACAGCUUAAAAUCAACCUGAAUGGACUGGAUUUAACUUGAGAACAACCUCAAGAAUCUCUGAAACCUCAUCUCAAAACAUUCAAUAGAACAAUAAUUUCCUAGAGAUUAAUCCGCUAAAUUUUAGUAUCUUUUCUAAUGUUUGUUUUUAUUAUUCCCUCAAGAUUUUCAGAAGGUCUAGUCUCUCUUUUAAUCUAUGAAACAGUGAAAUUUAUGCAACUUUUAUAUUUUUUGGAUUUUUAG